rnacentral:rRNA from 1 species
GGGUCAGUAGGUUGGUCGUGCCACCGGUACGUACUGGUCUCACUGAUUCCUCCUUCCCGAAGAACCGUAACGCCAUUAAUUUGGUGUUGCGGGGAAACAGGACUGUUACUUUGAAAAAAUUAGAGUGUUUAAAGCAAGCUAACGCUUGAAUACAUUAGCAUGGAAUAAUGAAAUAGGACGAUCGAUCCUAUUUUGUUGGUUUCUAGGAUUGACGUA